AACCUGAAGCAAUUGGUUACCAGUUCACUUUAUCAGGGCCGCCCCACAGCUAUUGGCCAUCCAACUGUGGAUAGAGUAAAUAAACGCAUGUAACAUCCAGGCCAGCAGUGCACCAGAGAGCUGAGGACAAGAACCUAACUGGCUCUGCUUGACAAAAAAGGCUUUCAUUACUAUGCCGUGAAGGGAAUAAUUUCCCCUACAAUGUGACCUUCCCCUGCCUACUUCUACCUGAGGCUCCAGAAGGUACAAAGCAAUAUACAGAACUGAGGGACUGACUCUGAGUUUUGGAGAAUGGAGGAGAGUUCGGGCUGUCUGAAGGUCUUUCGAUCGACAGCCACUCAGCAACCUGCCACACUAUCACCGUAUGGACAGAGAGGCUGAGACGCCCCCGUGAUCUACAGUCUCACAGAAAAUCUACCACUUUAAAUCAUCCCUGGCUCCCUGGCCCACCUUCCACCUUUCUACCCCAACAAAUGCAUUGCAUUCAUCUUCACACUUCCCCUGAAACAUUCAUCUCUGGAAGUCAGGGUCUCUUUACACCCAGAAAGUCAGCAGUGCCAGUAUUGCCCCUUAAACACAAUGGAUAACAAACCAUCACAUUUUCUACCACAGUAAUUGGCAGAGCAAAUCCAAAGUGACAAAACAAGCUGCUGUAUUGCAGCUGAUGAGUCUGGUUUUGUUUGGCAGUUACACUUCUGGGCACACGUACAGAGAAAGAAACUGUGGCUGAAAGAGUGGUUUGGUAAUUAAAAUCUAUUGUUUGCAGUGGGAAAUAAUGGGGAUCAAAGGGCCUUGUAUUAGCUACUCCCUCCCCUAACCACUGAGACAACAGGCCAUAUGCCCCAAAGUGAAUGUCUAACAGCCAACUUGCUAAUGGCGGGGGAACGAGGCUUGUAUGGAUGUACUAUACAUUAUAGAAAUAAGGCUCCAAAGAAACUUGAAAGUAUUCCACAAAGAUCCAUGAUUUUACAAAUAAAGCAAUGAAGAUUUUCUGGUAUAAUUUUCCAUGUAAGCUCCACUCUUACUCCAAAAACAUGUUUUUUUCUAACAAA